GAUGAACGCUGGCGGCAUGCCUAAGACAUGCAAGUCGUACGAGGUGGCCCAAUGAAGAUUGAGUGCUUGCACAAUUUCGGAUUUGGUUUCCACCUAGUGGCGGACGGGUGAGUAACACGUGGGUGACCUACCUUUGAGUUUGGGAUAACUACUGGAAACGGUAGCUAAUACCGAAUGAUAUACAGUUUCGUUUCUGUAUUGAAAGGCGCUUUCAAGCGUCGCUCUUAGAUGGGCCUGCGGCGUAUUAGCUUGUUGGUGGGGUAAUGGCCUACCAAGGCAACGAUGCGUAGCCGGACUGAGAGGUUGAACGGCCACAUUGGGACUGAGACACGGCCCAAAACUCCUACGGGAGACAGCAGUUAGGAAUAUUCGUCAAUGGGGGAAACCCUGAACGAGCAAUGCCGCGUGAGUGAUGACGGUCCUUUGGAUUGUAAAAACUCUGUUGCAUGGGAAGAAUGACCAAAACUAGGAAAUGAGUUUGGAGUGACGGUACCAUGCCAGAAAGCCCCGG
rnacentral:rRNA from 1 species